UAAUACGGGGGGGGCAAGCGUUGUUCGGAUUUACUGGGCGUAAAGAGCUCGUAGGCGGCCUGUUUAGUCGGACGUGAAAUCCCUCGGCUCAACUGAGGAACUGCGUCCGAUACUGGCAGGCUUGAAUCCGGGAGAGGGAUGCGGAAUUCCAGGUGUAGCGGUGAAAUGCGUAGAUAUCUGGAGGAACACCGGUGGCGAAGGCGGCAUCCUGGACCGGUAUUGACGCUGAGGAGCGAAAGCCAGGGUAGCAAACGGGAUUAGAUACCCCGGUAGUCCUGGCCCUAAACGAUGAAUGCUUGGUGUAGCGGGUAUCGAUCCCUGCUGUGCCGAAGCUAACGCAUUAAGCAUUCCGCCUGGGGAGUACGGUCGCAAGGCUG
rnacentral:rRNA from 1 species